rnacentral:lncRNA from 1 species
AGUGAAAAGUAUUACGAAAUUUAAUUAAGAAAGCUACCUCCAUAAGAAAGCUACCCAAACCAAAUGCACAUUCAAAUCUUAGUGCUUCUACUAUUUUCAGUUAAUUAUAAUACUUCUAAAUAUUAAUUCAUAAAUGAAAAUGUAAAAUUUUCAGUAAGACUUAAGAAGGAUUCUGCAGCUUACACUGCUCAUGGUCCAGCCAAGCAAAACUAAAAACAGUUUCACUGAAAUAUAAACCAACAACAUAUCUUAAUGCCACAAUGGGAAGUUGAAUUUAGGUGCUGCAACCUUCAUAAGAGCUUAGACAAUUUCUGAAACUUCAGUAACACUUUAUGUUCAUAAACCGUGAAGGGACAUUCAAUCAAACUCUAAACAUUCAACUUAAACAUGAUUGGCCUGACACAAGUGUAUAUAAGAGUGCUUAGUCUAAUUGGAAAGUGAGACAAAGUGAAACAGGGUUUGGUACAUUACUUAAAUCCAUCAAUGAAACAAAGUUCAUAAAUUUCACUUUGGAUAAGUUUGAUUUAAAUCGUGAGUUAACAAAAAAGAUAACUUCAAAUGUUUUUGUUUAGGCCCAAAAGCAUAAAUGAAAAAUUUUAAUGAAUAGAAGACUACCGUAGAAAUGCUAAAUAUGAGAACAUUAUGCUGGAGUUAUAUUGAUUUUAUUUUCUUAAUCUAAACAUUAUCUUCUAUAUCUAACAGCUUUAGGCCUUUUUGGCUAAGCAGCAUGAAUCAAACUUUGCCCAAUAAUACAAAAUUGUCAUUGAUUGUUUAAAUUUCUUCUGUUUGCAUUAAAGAAUAUUUCCUCCUUAUAAAGUGAUAAUGUUAAUAUAUAUCCAACAUCUUCCGUAUCA